rnacentral:piRNA from 1 species
UCCCAGCCUCAGGCCUGCCAGGACGGUGU